rnacentral:lncRNA from 1 species
CCAUCAAACCACUGAGAUUUUAUUUAUAUAUCCGUAGAUUUGGGAUAUACCACAAUCGAUUUUAUCAUUAAAAACAUAAUCAUAAUUUAUUUUAAAACUUUCACCAUCUUUACUUUUUUUACCGACAAACAGAGACAAUAAAUCAUCAAAUAAUUUUAAUAUUAAAUUAUAAUUUUGAUAUCUCUAAUAUGCUUAAAUUUUAGAGUAGAUCCCUAUAUUUUAAUUUAUCAUAAUUUGAUGUUUCAUUUUUAAAACAAAUCAGAAACAAUGUCAAACCCUAGGUGCGCCGCACCUAGGGGUUCCUAGCUCUGUCCCCGCACCUAGCCUCUGCCGACGUCGCCGACUUGCACCGCCACGGUCACAUCCGUCCUCACCUGCCCACCUGCAAGAAAUUAAGGCAGAAAUGACAAGCAUAAAAUAGAUUAAAAAAAAUCAUGUAAAAAUGGCUAUAAAGCCAUAGCCAAUCACUUGUACCGGGGUUCUUCCCCCUCUUUCACGAUUUAAAGAAAUAAAAGCAAAGAAAACAGAUUCAAAAAAACCUCUUUUUUUUUGUAUAAGCUCUAUUUUCCCUUUUACUUCUUUUAUUUUUCCCUUUAUUUUUCUUCCUUUCAAAA